GGCUCAGUGGUGGGUACCAUCUCUGCACCCAAUAAUAGUGAUGUGUACUGUUUGGAUACGUUGCAGUGACCGCUCGUUCGAUUCGAGCCUGAGUCA